GGGGGUAUAGCUCAGUGGUAGAGCAUCCGACUGCAGAUCGGAAUGUCCAUGGAUCAAUCCCGGGUGCUCCCU
rnacentral:tRNA from 1 species